rnacentral:siRNA from 1 species
GACAAUGUGAACCUGCUCAUAUA